UGGAGCUGAAAGAGAACUAGACUCUCGA
rnacentral:piRNA from 1 species